GAAUGGCUGUCUGUAAAGUACUGAGCCAUGACACCUAAGAUGAAGGGAAUGGUAAAGCAGAGUAAUGACUCAAAGGCUGCCACCGAGAGCUCUUGUCUACCUUUAACUCAUUGUGGCAAAGUUGGACAUUCCAAAGAUGGCGUAGAUGAACAUGACCAGGAAGAGCAGGAGGCCGAUGUUAAACAAGGCAGGAAGGGACAUCAUCAGAGCAAAGAGCAGCGUGCGGAUCCCCUUGGCCCCUUUGAUCAGACGCAAGAUUCGUCCAAUCCUGGCGAGCCGGAUCACUCGGAACAGGGCAACAAAAAUCUCUGGAGGCCAAACGCUGCUCUAAACUGCCAUUGGUUCUAGCUCAGCUCUUGCAGACCUAUCACAAACUGGUGAGAGUCAUUUCCAAUCACUUUUAGAGCUCAGUUUGGAUGUUUCCGAGGAACUCUCAGAGAAGCCCAUCAUUCUGCUUCUCCCAAUACUUGUGUACUCAGCUGCUGCAAUUGCAAUUGCCUGUUGGACCAAGAGGCCACACGUACAGAACUCUAUGUUGCACUCUACAGCAGUUCCCAGCAAUGUGUGAGAAAGUCUGCCUCCCCACAUCUCAGCCAGACAGCGUCUCUCUUUUGAUCUCCACCAUUCUAAGCGAGCCUGGUGAAGAAAUAUCUGUCAGAGGGAGACCAAGAACAAAGACUCUGCCUUCAGAAAUGAAGUCGGUGUAUAGGGAACCGUGAGAUGGGUAUUUCGCAUAGGUGAAUGAUCUUACCACUUUAAUGGUUAGCCACUGCAACUGCAAAAUGUACUUAGAGUGCCUGAUUUGUGAAGUUGUGGAAGAGCAUAAAUAGGAUAUUGCAUGUAAAGCAAUCCAGCGAUCCACACAUUCUACACAACUGCUCAGACAGCAGCAGCUGGCAUUAUUAAACUAUUAAACCAUUCCAGCUCAGAAAGAAAUGAAUUCUGCCACUUGGUUCACCAUCUGAGAAACAUUAAAUAUCAUUAACGGAUUCUGUGAACAGAAUACAAGAAUGAUCCCUUCCUUCAAGCAAGAAAUAUCACAGGAGAACUGAAAAACUUCCAGAUGAGUCUUCUCAGCCUCAGUGCAGGAAAGGAAUAUCAAGAUCGAACAAAUCCUCUGUGUCAACAACAAGGAAGAGAACGCUGACACAUCUGAAGACAACCAGAAGUGCACUUGAGUCAUCCAGUGUGUCUGCUAUUUACAGAAGAAAAUGAACUCUGCUAGAAGACUAAAUCUGAAGCAUAUAGGGAAAAGAUAAUAAUUAAGCCAGGUUUGAGUCCACUCCUAUCUGCUCCCUGAAUUGUAAUUUAAAAAAAUAAAAUCUCUCAAUAGUUUUUCAUUUUACUGAUAUUUGAAUAUUUGACAGCAUCACUGGAGGAAAGCAGAGACAGAUACCCCUUGGCUGUAAGGAAUACAGUUGACAGUCUGGUUCUAUCCUUGGCAGGAUGACCCCAGCAUUUCUGUUGCAAACCAAGAUUUUUUUUUUUUCCAAGAAUAAAUGCUACAUUACAUCACACACCAAGGCAACAGGCAUAAACUGGGACUGUUCUGGGCAAGCCUAGAUAUACACUCAUCUUAUUUUGAGAGGUCCUAGGAGAACCUACCGGAUAGGACCUAAGACCCUGGCUUUGCUUUGUAAUACUUCUUUUUAUGGGAACAUAGAUAACUAAUUGUCUUGAUCAUUAUUCUUUACCAAGGUAUGCCACAGUAACUGUCUGCUUUUCUGAAAACCAGAUUUUAUAGUUCAAAGAAGUAGUAAAAUAAACAUAAGCAAAACUUAAAACUUAAAUUCUUGGGAUUGGGGCGCCUAGGUGGCGCAGCCGGUUAAGCGUCUGACUCUUGAUUUCAGCUCCCGCCAUGAUCUCAGGGUCCUGGGAUCCAGCCCCAUGGUGGGCUCUGCACUCAGUGGACAGUUUGCUGGAGAUUCCCUCUCCCUCUCCCUUUGCCCCCCAACCACGUGCACACGUGUGCGCUCUUUCUCUCUCUCUCUCUCAGAUAAAUAAAUAAAUCUUAAAAAAAAAAAUCUUAGGGUUUAAUCAUAGUGACAUCACUACUGUUUGGAAAUCCUGUGCCCUGAUUAAAUGACAUCCUAGUGAGCUGCAGAGCCUGGGACCUCAAAUAACUGAAGAUUCCUAACUUCAGGCUGAAGACUGGAAGCACCACGAGUCAUAUCCAAAUACUGUUUGGCAUUGCAUUUAAUCCGCAAUAAAGGAGCUGUGAAACUUUUAGACUGAUUUUUUUAAUCUGCUGUCUCGAAAUUUGUCUUAUUUUGGUCAAAAUGAAUACACAAUUUUCUAGCUGCGAUUUUGGCAAACCCUCUAACACUUCGUGAAUAUCAGUUUACCAUUAGAGAAAACUGUAUAAACUUUUCAAAUUGCUGACUAUUCUAACGUUUUACCUUACUCUUUGCCCAGUCUAGGUGCAGUAAGACCAAUGAUUAUAAUCCAUUAUUCUCAGGGAUUUAAGUGAUGGCUAUUUUAGUUACUCUGUUACCUGAAAUUUAAAAAUGAACCAAAAUUUUUACAUUUAAGUAGGCAAUAAGAAGAAUUGAAUUAAGAUAGACUUGAAUUAAAUUAUGAAUUAAUUCUUAAUUCAUAAUUAAGAAUUAUGAAUCUCCACACAAUCCUUUAUUUCCUCAAUACAAUAUCUCCAUUUGCUUUUAACUUUAUAGAGUUUCUUACAAUGUCAUCAGAAAUAAACAGGAAAACAUAAUACAACUCUAUCAAUGAAGUGCCUAUCUUCACGAUGGAUGUAUUUUGUCCAUUUCACUAGAACGCUAGUUUGAUCCAGGGUAACUGUCCCCAAGGCCCCAGAUCCUGCUAACCCAUAGGUCUUCCUCACAGAAUUUAAGGAGCUUUCCUUGACAAGGUGGGCUGGGUGCAUUUAUCUGUAUCACCAUAAAAUUACGGCCCAUAAAUAGAUAGCUUUACUUCACUAUUAGAAUUAGAUGUUUCCGGUAACUUCUAAAAUUAUAAUAUCCUAGAGAACAGAGUGUCCUUAGCUUGUAACUGUGCUUGGAAAAAAAGGAGACCCGCCACUUGAUUUUUAUGAAUGAUAAUUUAUUCUUAUGAUAAAUAUUACAUACAUUAUUCUGAUUAUAUUCUAACAAUUUAGAAUACUAAAGGGAGUAAAAGCUCUCUUCUAGAGUGAGGGAAUUCUAUGUUUUCAUCCCAGUGCUGCUCGCAUGGUUUGUUAAGUUUGGAGUAUUCAAUGGACUAUAUGUUUAGAAUGCAUGUAUUUUUAUGUAAGUAUUGUACUUCAUGAAAAGUUUAAAAAGAUGAAUGUGAAAUUAAAAAAAUUUUGCAGAAAAGGCAAACAGAGAAUUCAUCAUUGCACUAAAUAUAUAAUAAAGAAACUUUUUAGGCAGAAGGAAAAGAUCUUAAGAGCAGAAGGAAGCACAGAAAAAAUGAACAUCAGAAUGGGUGUGUCUGUGUAUAUAAAAAGUUUACUCGACAAAAGAGAACAAGGACUACUUGAAGCAUUAAUGAUAUCUUAUGGAUUUUAAGACUAUAUAGAAUAAAAUGCAUAAAUGAAUUCCAGCUUGCAUGUUUUCUUAAAUACAUCAGUUUGUAUACAAAAGCAAGAGAUUUCCUUUAAUUUUAUUUGAUUUUCAAUUGUCUCAGUCUAUCACAUUGAGUGGUUUUAUUAAGAAGUAAUUGUUCUCAGGCUUUUUUAAUAGGUGGAAUUUUUAUCUUUAUGCAGAAAAUACU